rnacentral:rRNA from 1 species
AACGGGGGGAGCGAGUGUUAUCCGUCAUGACUGGGCGUAAAGGGUAAGUAGGCUGACUUUUAAGUUUAUAAACAAAAGAUUAGAUUUAUGUCUAAGAAAGUUUUUUAUACUGAAAGUCUUGAGUGCGAUAGGGGAUGGCAGUACUCUUGGUGUAAGGGUGAAAUCUAAUAAUAUCAAUGGGGACUAUCAAUAAGCGAAGGCGGCCAUCUAGUUCGUUACUGACGCUGAGGUACUAAGGCGUAGGGAGCAAACAGG